UACAACGCCGAAGAUGUUUUGGCGGAUUUGAGANGGCGAUGUCCGAAUGGGGAAACCCAGUGCAAUUCGUUGCACUAUCGUUAACUGAAUACAUAGGUUAACGAGGCGAACCGGGGGAACUGAAACAUCUAAGUACCCCGAGGAAAAGAAAUCAACCGAGAUUCCCCCAGUAGCGGCGAGCGAACGGGGAGCAGCCCAGAGUCUGAAUCAGCUUGUGUGUUAGUGGAACGGUCUGGAAAGUCCGACGGUACAGGGUGAUAGUCCCGUACACCAAAAUGCACAGGCUGUGAACUCGAAGAGUAGGGCGGGACACGUGGUAUCCUGUCUGAAUAUGGGGGGACCAUCCUCCAAGGCUAAAUACUCCUGACUGACCGAUAGUGAACCAGUACCGUGAGGGAAAGGCGAAAAGAACCCCGGCGAGGGGAGUGAAAAAGAACCUGAAACCGUGUACGUACAAGCAGUGGGAGCACCUUCGGGUGUGACUGCGUACCUUUUGUAUAAUGGGUCAGCGACUUAUAUUCUGUAGCAAGGUUAACCGUAUAGGGGAGCCGCAGGGAAACCGAGUCUUAACUGGGCGUUAAGUUGCAGGGUAUAGACCCGAAACCCGGUGAUCUAGCCAUGGGCAGGUUGAAGGUUGGGUAACACUAACUGGAGGACCGAACCGACUAAUGUUGAAAAAUUAGCGGAUGACUUGUGGCUGGGGGUGAAAGGCCAAUCAAACCGGGAGAUAGCUGGUUCUCCCCGAAAGCUAUUUAGGUAGCGCCUCGUGAACUCAUCUUCGGGGGUAGAGCACUGUUUCGGCUAGGGGGUCAUCCCGACUUACCAACCCGAUGCAAACUACGAAUACCGAAGAAUGUUAUCACGGGAGACACACGGCGGGUGCUAACGUCCGUCGUGAAGAGGGAAACAACCCAGACCGCCAGCUAAGGUCCCAAAGUCAUGGUUAAGUGGGAAACGAUGUGGGAAGGCACAGACAGCCAGGAUGUUGGCUUAGAAGCAGCCAUCAUUUAAAGAAAGCGUAAUAGCUCACUGGUCGAGUCGGCCUGCGCGGAAGAUGUAACGGGGCUAAACCAUGCACCGAAGCUGCGGCAGCGACACUAUGUGUUGUUGGGUAGGGGAGCGUUCUGUAAGCCUGCGAAGGUGUGCUGUGAGGCAUGCUGGAGGUAUCAGAAGUGCGAAUGCUGACAUAAGUAACGAUAAAGCGGGUGAAAAGCCCGCUCGCCGGAAGACCAAGGGUUCCUGUCCAACGUUAAUCGGGGCAGGGUGAGUCGACCCCUAAGGCGAGGCCGAAAGGCGUAGUCGAUGGGAAACAGGUUAAUAUUCCUGUACUUGGUGUUACUGCGAAGGGGGGACGGAGAAGGCUAUGUUAGCCGGGCGACGGUUGUCCCGGUUUAAGCAUGUAGGCUGAUUGUCCAGGCAAAUCCGGAUAAUCAAGGCUGAGGUGUGAUGACGAGGCACUACGGUGCUGAAGUAACAAAUGCCCUGCUUCCAGGAAAAGCCUCUAAGCAUCAGGUAACAUUAAAUCGUACCCCAAACCGACACAGGUGGUCAGGUAGAGAAUACCAAGGCGCUUGAGAGAACUCGGGUGAAGGAACUAGGCAAAAUGGUGCCGUAACUUCGGGAGAAGGCACGCUGGUGUGUAGGUGAAGUCCCUGCGGAUGGAGCUGAGACCAGUCGAAGAUACCAGCUGGCUGCAACUGUUUAUUAAAAACACAGCACUGUGCAAACACGAAAGUGGACGUAUACGGUGUGACGCCUGCCCGGUGCCGGAAGGUUAAUUGAUGGGGUUAUCCGUAAGGAGAAGCUCUUGAUCGAAGCCCCGGUAAACGGCGGCCGUAACUAUAACGGUCCUAAGGUAGCGAAAUUCCUUGUCGGGUAAGUUCCGACCUGCACGAAUGGCGUAAUGAUGGCCAGGCUGUCUCCACCCGAGACUCAGUGAAAUUGAACUCGCUGUGAAGAUGCAGUGUACCCGCGGCAAGACGGAAAGACCCCGUGAACCUUUACUAUAGCUUGACACUGAACAUUGAGCCUUGAUGUGUAGGAUAGGUGGGAGGCUUUGAAGCGUGGACGCCAGUCUGCGUGGAGCCAACCUUGAAAUACCACCCUUUAAUGUUUGAUGUUCUAACGUUGGCCCCUGACCGGGGUUGCGGACAGUGUCUGGUGGGUAGUUUGACUGGGGCGGUCUCCUCCCAAAGCGUAACGGAGGAGCACGAAGGUUAGCUAAUCCUGGUCGGACAUCAGGAGGUUAGUGCAAUGGCAUAAGCUAGCUUGACUGCGAGCGUGACGGCGCGAGCAGGUGCGAAAGCAGGUCAUAGUGAUCCGGUGGUUCUGAAUGGAAGGGCCAUCGCUCAACGGAUAAAAGGUACUCCGGGGAUAACAGGCUGAUACCGCCCAAGAGUUCAUAUCGACGGCGGUGUUUGGCACCUCGAUGUCGGCUCAUCACAUCCUGGGGCUGAAGUAGGUCCCAAGGGUAUGGCUGUUCGCCAUUUAAAGUGGUACGCGAGCUGGGUUUAGAACGUCGUGAGACAGUUCGGUCCCUAUCUGCCGUGGGCGCUGGAGAAUUGAGGGGGGCUGCUCCUAGUACGAGAGGACCGGAGUGGACGCAUCACUGGUGUUCGGGUUGUCAUGCCAAUGGCACUGCCCGGUAGCUAAAUGCGGAAGAGAUAAGUGCUGAAAGCAUCUAAGCACGAAACUUGCCCCGAGAUGAGUUCUCCCUGAGACUUUAAGUCUCCUGAAGGAACGUUAAAGACGAUGACGUUGAUAGGCCGGGUGUGUAAGCGCAGCGAUGCGUUGAGCUAACCGGUACUAAUGAACCGUGAGGCUUAACCUU
rnacentral:rRNA from 1 species